CUACGGAAGGUCCGGGCGUUAUCCGGAUUUAUUGGGUUUAAAGGGAGCGCAGGCGGAGAUGCAAGCGUGACGUCAAAUUUCGGGGCUCAACCCCGUCUCGCGUCGCGAACUGCGUCCCUUGGUUGCGGGAAGGGGAGGCGGAACUCGUGGUGUAGCGGUGAAAUGCAUAGAUAUCACGAAGAACUCCGAUCGCGAAGGCAGCCUUCCGGCCCGUCAACGACGCUCAUGCUCGAAGGUGCGGGUAUCAAACAGGAUUAGAUACCCUGGUAGUCCGCACAGUAAACGAUGGACACCCGCGGUUUGGCCUGUAUGGCUGAGCCGCCAAGCGAAAGCGUUAAGUGUCCCACCUGGGGAGUACGCCGGCAACGGUGAAACUCAAAUGAAUUGGCGGGG
rnacentral:rRNA from 1 species